rnacentral:rRNA from 1 species
GACACACCCGUUCCCAUCCCGAACACGGUAGUUAAGCUUCUCUGCGCCAAUGGUAGUUGGGGGCUUCCCCCUGCGAGAGUAGGUCGCUGCCGGGC